rnacentral:tRNA from 1 species
GCCCAGAUGGCGGAAGUGGUAGACGCGCUAGUUUCAGGGACUAGUGUCUGCAAGGACGUGCAGGUUCGAGUCCUGUUCUGGGCA